rnacentral:lncRNA from 1 species
AAAAAACUAAAAUUACACUUAAGAAUUUCAGUGCAAUAUCCACUGUAGAAGUCAUUAUGUCCACUAAGAAUUACAAUGUAAAAUGCACUAAAUUUACACUGUAAAAUCUACUCCAUUUACAUUAAGAUUUACACUGUAAAUACCGCAAAAAAUACACUAACGAUCAAAAUAAUUUAUACUAAAUAAUUACACUAAGCAUCACAGUGGAAAUCCACUGCGAAAAACAAUGUAAAUAUAAUAGGAAUUACAGUGUAAAUCCACUUAAAAUUACACUGUAAAUCUACUUAGAAUUACACUGAAAACCCACAAAGAAGAACAUUGUAAAUGCAGUAAGAAUUACAGUGUAAAUCCACUAAGAAAAUGCACUGUAAACACACUAGCAACAUGAACUUGAACGGGUCAACACCAGAGAGGGCAAUUUCUCCAUCAUGUGGGAGACAAAUCUAGCUGGAGAUGCAGAAAAAACACAGGUAAACACCCAUCCUCUUAUGCAUUCACCCCUCCAAGAUCUCUCUCCUACCUCAUGACAUAUGAAAGAAAAACAAGCUCUCAAUAAUUAAUGUGUAAAAAUCACUAAAAUGCACAGUAAUUCCACUAAAAAUACACUGUAAUUUCACUAAAAGUACACUGUAAUUCCACUAAAAAUGCCAUUUGCAAAUACAGAGCAAAAAUCCACUAAAAGUAUACCGUGAACCCAUUAAGAAUUACAGUGUAAAUUCCACUACUAAUUACAGUGUAAAAAUCACUAAAAAUAUACAGUAAUUCCUCUGAUGUACACUGUAAUUCCACUAAAAGUACACUAUAAUUCCACUAAAAAUACACUGCAAUUUCACUAAAAGUACACUGUAAUUCCACUAAAAAUGCCACUUGCAAAUACAGAGCAAAAAUCCACUAAAAUUAUGCUGUAAACCCAUUAAGAAUUACAGUGUAAAUUCCACUAAUAAUUACAGUGUAAAAAUCACUAAAAAUGUACAAUAAUUCCACUGAAAGUAUACUGUAUUUCCACUAAAAAUACACUAUAGUUCCACUAAAAACAGACAAAAGAAUUACUGCAAUUCCACUAAGAAAGUACUAAAUUUACCACCAAAGAAGCGUCACCAGAGAGGGCCAUUCCUCCAUGAUCUAGGACACAAACAUGGAUGGACAAGCAGAAACAAAUCAUAGGUAAGCACCCCCUCCUCUGCAUUCAUCACCUCAUGUCGUCUCUCGUCUCUCUCCUGCCCGAACAAAUCUGGAAGAAAGAACAUACCUGUAGUGGAUUAUUACAUAGGCUAAGUUAAGCACAAAAUCUACACACAUCAUAAAUAAGAACAUAAUCAUACAAAAGCUUGAACCAGGAGAAAUCCUAGGAACAACUAGGACAUGGUCGCUUGAACUAGUAGUCUGUGAUCACAGGAAAACUAAAAACUAGAUGCCCAGAUCAUAGAUUUCUGAAUUUGCAGAAAUAAACACACUACAGGGAUCAAAACAUGCUCAGGAAGCUAGCUAUUCCAUUUUUGGGAAAACUAGUUAAAAACAUACAAGGGGGAGGAUUGCUCCAGUUGAGAGAAAAUAUGACUAUUUUCACAGACUUUGGAAACUGAAAAACCAACCAUGGUUAAGAAACUUUGGAAGUGUAAACUACUAUGAUCUGAUGCUUGCUUACACUGAAUAUUGAUAGGCAUUAACAUAAGCACUAAAAAUAGAAAUUAACAGAAAAAGGACAAACACAAUAAGGCUAAACACAUUCACACUAGAAGGCACUCACACUAGUAGCAACAAACAAAAGAAUCAAUAAAAUUGAUAACAUAUUUACAGUUCGGAACUAAAGGACAAAUUUGUGAAUGUUAUAAACCUACUGCAAAAUUACUCUGCAUAUAUUUACAAUUCAGAACUGAAUACUUGUUUGCAUCAAUAGAUAAUUUACUCAAACUAUUGAGGGUAGAUGCCUACAAUCGACCCAAAUGCAAUGACAUGUAGCAUCAAAGGACAAGCAAUGUACCUCAAUGAAGAUGAAGUUGAUAGCCUUAACAUAUGGUUUUCUAAUAGCAGAAAACAAUACCAAAAACAAAACAAUUUUUUUUAUCAAAAACAUGCUUUCUCUAAUUAGUUUGUUGAAAAUAACAGAGUGGGUCAUACUCUUUUACUGAGCUACUUCAGGCGCAAAUGAUGCACAAGGUAUAAUUGCAUUGGAAAAAAAAGGAAAUCAUAGAACACUAAAAUGGAGAAAAUCUACCAACAGUAGUCAUCGGCUAAUGAUAUUCAGUUUAAUGUAGUGUCAUGGAAAAAGGGGGAAAUUCAGAGUAGAUCAUUGUAACUUACACAUACCUGAAGUUACAAGCCAAUGGAACAAAACAUUCAAAAAUUCCAGUGUAAGAUAGAGUAAUACAAUAUUGAAACUACAGUCCAAAUCAUAGUUACUUAGCUGGAAAUAUUGAGUCCACAUCACUGUCCAAUUAACUCAAAGUUACUGUCGAGAUCACAAACCUAAACAAUAGAAAUACUGAAAAUUGCAGUCCAAAUCAUUGUUAUUUAACUGAAAAAGUUCAGGCCACAUCACUUCCAAUUCAUUAACAGUUACAGUCCAGAUCACUAACUGAUACCACUAAAACUUACAGUCCAAAAUCAAUGCUACUAAACUGACAAACAAAAUAAACAUCACGAGACUUAACCCACCAAGAGGGCCAACAUUUGUAUCCCACACAUCUACAUGAAGACACAUACCACACGAAAAACAACCUACCAAACUAGCAGGUGCCGAAGGGAUCAGUGUACUUCUACUCUAAUUUUAAUGUGAAUAUCAGUGGUCUACUCAAGGCACAACACAAACCAAAUAGAUCCGCACGAAAUAUCUGCGGGUAACACAUGCAACUAGCACAAACAACAAGGUCUCACCUACGUAGAAAACUGUACACUUAGCUAGCAAACAGAUCUGACGAACGACACAAAUCGCGAGAAUACCGAAUCAAACGAAUAGAAGCACCGACGGGGGAAAAUAGAAGCUGAUGUAUGUGACGCGGGGGAGGGGGGUGAUGCUGCAGACCUCCGGUGGGAAAUACAGCUUGGCAAACGGAGGCGACGGGUAGCCGGAUGCCGGACCACCAACCUACUGAAUCGGGCGGCACGAGGGGAGCCCCAAAUCGCCAUGGACGUCUCUCUCUUGACUCUGUUCCGGCUGCUUCUUCGAAAUGAGAAGGGGAAACGAGGAGAAGGGGAACGGGCAAACGCAACGAUGCGGACGAUAGCAAAGGAAGCGUGCCGGGUCUUCAGGAAAUUAAGCGGGCCCGAUAAGAAAAAAAGGCAAUAGUGUGACAGAAAAACAGGAAUCUCCGCACAGAGAUCGCACGGCUCAGAAAACGGAUGAAGGCCAAUUAAAU